rnacentral:lncRNA from 1 species
UUAUAUUUGAAGUGCAUUCUCCUAGAGGAGGGAGGUUGAAAAUGGUUUUCCUGUGAACUGGAACCAUCCACAGAGGAGAAAUGUUCUUGGUAACCACGGGUUUGAAUAGUUUCUGUAGAAUGUGGGUUGAGUUUUGGUACUUUUCUUAGGGUUUUAUGCUUUUCCUGCUUUUGGGUCUCAUAUUUCUCAGGUGUGGCCUACAUAAAUCACAUGAUUGUUGAAUUUGAAAUAUAGCUGCAGCUUCAGAUUAGGGUCUCUCUCUCUCUCUCUCUCAUGGUGGACUACUCAUUUAAAGGUUUGUUGUGUUUGAUAAAAGGGAGACAUUUCUUUUUGUAAAGUAGUCUGACUAGUGCCAAAUUUCCAUCAAUUGCAUGCUUCAACUCCAUUUCACCAAAUCUCUUCGGAUGAACUGCAGCCUCAUUCUUCAAAAGGCACUUGGUCAAAGCUCUCGUCUUCUAACACUUUGGGCCCUAC